GACGUAGGGCGCGAGCGUUGUCCGGAUUUAUUGGGCGUAAAGAGCUCGUAGGCGGCUUGUCGCGUCGUUCGUGAAAACCCGGGGCUCAACUCCGGGCUUGCGGGCGAUACGGGCAGGCUAGAGUUCGGUAGGGGAGACUGGAAUUCCUGGUGUAGCGGUGAAAUGCGCAGAUAUCAGGAGGAACACCGGUGGCGAAGGCGGGUCUCUGGGCAGUAACUGACGCUGAGGAGCGAAAGCGUGGGUAGCAAACAGG
rnacentral:rRNA from 1 species